CACUGCAGGAAACUGUGAUGAGGGAACUCCAAGUGACUGCACAAUGUGUAGUCUUUUCUUGAAUCUUAAUAGUUCUUGGAAUAAGGGCUGGGAAAGACCGGUGCCAGCCGCCGCGGUAAUACCGGCAGCUCAAGUGGUCGUCGCUUUUAUUGGGCCUAAAACGUCCGUAGCCUGUUUGGUAAAUCUGUGGGUAAAUCAACGAGCUUAACUCGUUGAAUUCUGCAGAGACUGCCAGACUAGGGACCGGGAGAGGUAUGAGGUACUCUGGGGGUAGGGGUAAAAUCCUGUCAUCCUCAGAGGACCACCUGUUGCGAAGGCGUCAUACUGGAACGGAUCCGACGGUCAGGGACGAAGCCUAGGGGCACGAACCGGAUUAGAUACCCGGGUAGUCCUAGGUGUAAACGCUGUGGAUUUGGUGUGUGGGGUCCGCAAUGGGCCCCAUGUGCCGGAGUGAAGAUGUUAAAUCCACUGCCUGGGGAGUACGGUCGCAAGGCUGAAACUUAAAGGAAUUGGCGGGGGAGCACUGCAACCUGAGGAUUGUGCGGUUUAAUUGGAUUCAACGCCGGAAAACUCACCAAGGCCGACUGUUAGAUGAAGAUCAGCGUAAUGAGCUUAUCGGAUUUUCAGAGAGGUGGUGCAUGGCCGUCGUCAGUUCGUACUGUAAAGCGUUCUGUUAAGUCAGAUAACGAACGAGACCC
rnacentral:rRNA from 1 species